GACGAACGCUGGCGGCGUGCUUAACACAUGCAAGUCGAACGGAAAGGCCCUGCUUGCAGGGUACUCGAGUGGCGAACGGGUGAGUAACACGUGGGUGAUCUGCCCUGCACUUCGGGAUAAGCUUGGGAAACUGGGUCUAAUACCGGAUAGGAGCGAUCUUUAGUGUGGUGGUUGGAAAGUUUUUUCGGUGUAGGAUGAGCUCGCGGCCUAUCAGCUUGUUGGUGGGGUAAUGGCCUACCAAGGCGGCGACGGGUAGCUGGCCUGAGAGGGUGUACGGCCACAUUGGGACUGAGAGACGGGCCAGACUCCGACGGGAGGCAGCAGUGGGGAAUAUUGCACAAUGGGCGCAAGCCUGAGGCAGCGACGCCGCGUGGGGGAUGAAGGCCUUCGGGUUGUAAACUCCUUUCGCUAGGGACGAAGCUUUGUUGUGACGGUACCUAGAGAAGAAGCACCGGCUAACUACGUG
rnacentral:rRNA from 1 species